CUGUCGCCAUGGCAUCCAAGGCCUUCCUCCUCGUCGCCCUCGUCCUGGUCCUCUUCACGGUGACCAACGCCUGCGGCGGCGGCUGCCCGACGCCAACGCCACCAACGCCGACGCCGCCGUCACCGUCACCGUCGAGCAAAGGCAAGUGCCCCAAGAACGCGCUCAAGCUCGCGGCGUGCGCCAACGUGGCCGGCCUCGUGAGCGCCGAGGUCGGCCAGCCGCCCGCCGAGCCAUGCUGCAGCAUCCUCGGCGGCCUCGCGGACCUCGAGGCCGCCGCCUGCCUCUGCACCGCCAUCAAGGCCAACGUGCUCGGCAUCAGCCUCGACAUCCCUGUCAAGCUCAGCCUCAUUGUCAACUACUGUGGCAAGAACCUCCCCAGUGGUUUCAUAUGCGCUUGAUAGCUACGCGGUU
rnacentral:lncRNA from 1 species